rnacentral:rRNA from 1 species
CGUGAUUCUUUCUGUAGCAAGCAGCUCUAGAGACCCGAAUAAACAAAGCUAAUCUCGCGGCAGCAGUUACCAGCCCUUGGCAUAAAUCAAACUCCUAACUGAAAGCACCAUGUCGCCACCGUAAUCUAUCUUAUCCCGGCUAAUCCGCGGAGAUAAGCCCCCAUUUUCUUCCUCACCCCCGCCGAUCGGUCGACAGAGUCCCCUAAGAUAAGAUGCUUAUCCUCGUGAGCCAGUGUAGUUCACAUGCCCCGAUUAUACAUAAUUGAUUGCUCCCAGCAAGCAACACAUGUUUCCGUCUCUUGCGCCCCCGGAAACGAGUGUUUCCACAUGCGCAAACACUCCAGACAGUAACGUAGGUGAUAAGACCGACGCUCUGCACGGCAAGGUCGCAAGGAUAGGCUUGGUUUUACUUUCGGCGCCAGUCGACGGAGGCCUAUCUGAACGAGCAAGACGCCCGCCUGCCCACGGCAACGGCCCUGAAAUGGAUGGACCUUGCAACAAGGCUCUGCGCCGUGAGGCCGCCGCCUGCGUCUGCCAAGGAGAAGAUGAUCACCCCGACGCUGCUUCUUGCACCUCGCCCUCAGGGGCGUCCAGCGGGUCGUCGUCGUGCUCAUUGGCGUCGGAUCUGGGUGAUGGGUCGAGUUACUCCCCGCCCGAUGAUCAUUCCUCGGGGUCGUCUUCAGCGUCAUCGAGCACCUUGCAGCUGGACUCUGAGGCCGAGGGACCUCUCUACGAGCUGUCUUCGCUGCUAGCCCAGCUUCCUGCCAGGAGAGGGUUGUCCAAGUACUACCAAGGGAAGUCCCAAUCAUUCACAUCGAUAUCUUAUGCUACAUGUCUUCAAGACCUUGGAAAGGAAGUUACCUACAGCAAGAGGAUGAAGACAUGCAAGAGCUAUACAGCGGGAUCAGGCAUGAACCAGCGGUCAAAUCACUCACCGAGGACAUGCAACAAGAUGAUAGCCAAGAGGCCCUCAAAAAGUUCAUUUGCUUGUCAAAUGUCCAGAGCAAGCAGCACCAACCUCUUGUUCAGGAGUGCCAAUUUACCUGCACACCAGAACAAGGAAGAUGUACAAAUGCAUAUGAACUCUUAACUAGCUACAACUAGAAUGCCAGGACUCCACUUCCCAUGAACAUACAGUACUUACUGUACA